GAUGAACGCUGGCGGCGUGCCUAAUACAUGCAAGUCGAGCGAAUGGAUUAAGAGCUUGCUCUUAUGAAGUUAGCGGCGGACGGGUGAGUAACACGUGGGUAACCUGCCCAUAAGACUGGGAUAACUCCGGGAAACCGGGGCUAAUACCGGAUAACAUUUUGAACCGCAUGGUUCGAAAUUGAAAGGCGGCUUCGGCUGCCAUUUAUGGAUGGACCCGCGUCGCAUUAGCUAGUUGGUGAGGUAACGGCUCAACAAGGCAACGAUGCGUAGCCGACCUGAGAGGGUGAUCGGCCACACUGGGACUGAGACACGGCCCAGACUCCUACGGGAGGCAGCAGUAGGGAAUCUUCCGCAAUGGACGAAAGUCUGACGGAGCAACGCCGCGUGAGUGAUGAAGGCUUUCGGGUCGUAAAACUCUGUUGUUAGGGAAGAACAAGUGCUAGUUGAAUAAGCUGGCACCUUGACGGUACCUAACCAGAAAGCCACGGCUAACUACGUGCCAGCCGCCGCAGUAA
rnacentral:rRNA from 1 species